rnacentral:rRNA from 1 species
CGGCAACAGCUCAAAUUUGAAAUCUGGCCCUUUCAGGGUCCGAGUUGUAAUUUGCAGAGGGUGCUUUGGCGUUGGCCGUGGUCUAAGUUCCUUGGAACAGGACGUCACAGAGGGUGAGAAUCCCGUACGUGGCCGCCGGUCUUCGCCGUGUAAAGCCCCUUCGAC